GUUUCAUAUAAAAGACAUCCUCUUUUUCCCCUAAAACCAGUUCCCUCAAUCUUCCCUAAAACCCUCCAGCAGAACCCACUUCCCUCCAGAGAAAUCAAGUUUUUUCCGGCGAUUUUGGGCAAGAAACCACCGUCGUGACCGGCCGCUGUUCGAAGGUUCAUUGUUUCACUUCUUCAAGCUGAUUUCAGUAGACACGAAGCUUCCUUCUAGAUGUAUAUCUUCUCAGAAUGCUUUCAGUGGAAUUCUAACUAGUCGAAUUCUAACUGGUCUUCCCAAGCCUGGAGGCAGGAGUUACAGAAAAUUGUAAAAAAACCUAUAGCAACCAAAUUUAGUCUUUAAAGGUGAAAUUACAGAAAAUUGUAAAAACUCUAUAGCAACGACCCUGUUGCGACUAAGUUUGGUCGCUGUAAGUCAAUCUAUAGCGACGCCUUUGUAGCGACGAAAAUUGCACCCUGUUACGACAGAUCAAUAGCAACGACCCUGUUGCGACUAAGUUUGGUCGCAAUAGGUUAAGACGGAAUUUCGUCGCGAAAAGUCUUUUUUGGGUCGUCGCUAAAGGUCCGAUUUCUUGUAGUGGAUAACCAAGUUUUAGUAGUGUUUCAAUUAGAUCACUUAUAAAAAAAAUUGUUCUAAUUAACUCAUUAAAUUUU
rnacentral:lncRNA from 1 species